ensembl:lncRNA
GCAGCUUCUGGUCUGGAUCCUUGAGCCGAGGCAUCUCUUCUUAAGAGCUGGCAAAAGCUGAUGGUGUCAGUAAGCAGGCUGCAGGAGACAGGACAUAAGGUUGCAGCUUGGAGCAUUCGGCAGCAGGAGGUGGACAGGCUGAGCAGGAAAGGCCACCUGCAGCCACAGCUCCACACUCGAAUUAAACAGUAGCGCUGUGCACGCACCCCACCUUCCCAGAGGGCCCCUGGUCCCAUGGUCAGCCCUUGCCCUUUGUCCCGAGUGAUCUCCUCACAGGCGUGGGAGUGAGGAGCCAGGAAGCACUGGAGACUUCUCACCUCUGCAGGAGCGAAAGCAGGCCCCUGUCAUCCUUCCCUCUCUUCCUGCUGUAGCCUCUGUAAGCUAGAAAUACAGAUGGGGUGAUUGUGGGUAAAGGAGAGAACUGAGAGCCUACGGGAGCCUGAAUGCAAUGUCCCUUCUGUGGAAAUGAUCAACUAAACAGGAGCUCAAGCUUUGCUGAACAAGGCCACAGGCCCCAAAGCACUAAGUGCUGGGCACAUGUGGGAUAGGACCUGACCAUAGACCGGAGGCUUCCAUUUCCGCCGAGCUCCAUGGACUUCAUAAUGUCCCUGUGGAGAGGAGGGAGGUCCAGUGUAGUGGAAGAGGAAAGUGUCUUAGAGAAGUGAAAUAACCCAUUUGCCUGCAGACGCAUGCAGCAUGUUUCUGGUCCUACCCACACCACCCUCCUGACUGCAGCCAACCAUGGUCGUCCCUGGCUUUAUUCUGAGCACAGCACCUUGGCAAUGUCUUCACUUCUGAUUCCUUCCAUGCAGCCACAGCCGCAUGGUCUGCAACUCAUUUGGUGUCAUCCCUUGGGGACAGGGUAGAUGAAGUCACCUGUCCAGGGGAAGGAAGGAGCCUACCUUUCAAGGUCCUGAUUUUCUUCCUGGCCUUGUUGUGGUCCCUCUUCACCACCUAAUAGACAGAGAUAACAGACACCACCUGCAGCCCCAUUCACACCCCUGUGAUGAGGGGUAAGUCUGUAUUCUUUUCCCUUGAAAAUCCCAAGUGUGGACGGUCUCCGUGAGACCCACCACGGAUGUCAUUGGUCAGUGUUCUUUCACCUCAGUAAGCUGAAGCUCAGCUCCGAACUGCCUUGUCAUUUCCUGAGGUGAGAUGUGACUCAAGUCCUGAUCCUAUGUCCAGGAGUGCAUCACCCUCUUCACAUGAGCUCAGCUGACCAAGACAAUGUAGUGUGAGCAUUAAUGUGAGGAGGGGGACAGAGGAACCAGUGUUCAGAACGUUUCUUAGUGGAGCCUAUCCAUCCCAGGUCCACAGUUCCGUGACCACUGAGACAUAGUGCUUCUUUCUGCUCUAGGAGGUCUGAGAGCAGAUAUCACGCAGCCCUCUCUCCCCGUCCUACCCGUGAGUUCUCAUGCGGAUGUGGUUCCCGUCUGCUGAGAUGCCCUGUCCGCCACCUCCCUAUUGGAUUUGGAAAGUGUUUCCCUAAUAGAGAAGGCUGUGUUGUGUGGAUGGAAGGCAGUCUUACCCUUUUGGUGGUGGUGGAGGCGCCCUCUGCAGGUGAGGGUGAGGUGAGUGGGAAGACAUGUAUCCACAGGUGGAAGAGGCCCAGUCCACAGGCGAAGGCCAGGAUCAUGUCCAUUGCCCACGUCGUGAAGCUGAGGCUGAUCCAUUCGGUUGGAGGAAACGGAAGUGAAGGUAGUUCCAUGGCACCGUCGUGCCCUACAAGUGCCUGGCACUCCGUGAAGGUAGUGCGUGGCCUUGUACUGGAUGCCUGAGCGAAUGUUUUAAUUUGUCAUUCCUUCAGGCUGCAUCAGGGAGAGAAGGUUCUCUGACUGAAUCACACUGUUGCCCUCAGGCAACUGAUCUCUGAUGGUUCGCUCUGGGUGUUAGCAGCUGCUCCCAGGCCUACAUCACAGAGCUCCUGGGUCCCUGUCACAAAGGGCCCCUGAGAUUGGGGGAGGG